UAGGGAAUCUCCCACAAUGGACGCAAGUCUGAUGGAGCAACGCCGCGUGAGUGAAGAAGGUUUUCGGAUCGUAAAGCUCUGUUGUUGGUGAAGAGGGAUAGAGGCAGUAACUGGUCUUUAUUUGACGGUAAUCAACCAGAAAGUCACGGCUAACUACGUGUCAGCAGCCGCGGUAAUACGUAGGUGGCAAGCGUUGUCCGGAUUUAUUGGGCGUAAAGCGAGCGCAGGCGGAAUGAUAAGUCUGAUGUGAAAGCCCACGGCUCAACCGUGGAACUGCAUCGGAAACUGUCAUUCUUGAGUGCAGAAGAGGAGAGUGGAACUCCAUGUGUAGCGGUGGAAUGCGUAGAUAUAUGGAAGAACACCAGUGGCGAAGGCGGCUCUCUGGUCUGCAACUGACGCUGAGGCUCGAAAGCAUGGGUAGCGAACAGGAUUAGAUACCCUGGUAGUCCAUGCCGUAAACGAUGAGCGCUAGGUGUUGGGGGACUUUCCGGUCCUCAGUGCCGCAGCAAAUCGCAUUAAGCGCUCCGCCUGGGGAGUACGACCGCAAGGUUGA
rnacentral:rRNA from 1 species